GGAUGAAGAACGCAGCGAAAUGCGAUACGUAAUGUGAAUUGCAGAAUUCAGUGAAUCAUCGAGUCUUUGAACGCACAUUGCGCCCUCUGGUAUUCCGGGGGGCAUGCCUGUCCGAGCGUCAUUGCUGCCCUCAAGCACGGCUUGUGUGUUGGGCCCCCGUCCCGGUUCUUUAAGCCGGGACGGGCCCGAAAGGCAGCGGCGGCACCGUGUCCGGUCCUCGAGUGUAUGGGGCUCUGUCACCCACUCGUGUAGGUCCGGCCGGCGGCCAGCCUCUUCAACCAAACUUUUAACCAGGUUGACCUCGGAUCAGGUAGGGAUACCCGCUGAACUUAAGCAUAUCAAUAAGCGGAGGA
rnacentral:misc_RNA from 1 species